rnacentral:rRNA from 1 species
UACGAGGGGGGCAAGCGUUGUUCGGAAUUAUUGGGCGUAAAGGGCGCGUAGGCGGUGCGGUAAGUCACCUGUGAAAUCUCUGGGCUCAACUCAGAGUCUGCAGGCGAAACUGCCGUGCUGGAGUAUGGGAGAGGUGCGUGGAAUUCCUGGUGUAGCGGUGAAAUGCGCAGAUAUCAGGAGGAACACCAGCGGCGAAGGCGGCGCUCUGGGCCGGAACUGACGCUGAGGAGCGAAAGCGUGGGUAGCAAACAGG